rnacentral:rRNA from 1 species
GAUGAACGCUAGCUACAGGCUUAACACAUGCAAGUCGAGGGGCAGCAUUUCGCUAGCAAUAGUGAAGAUGGCGACCGGCGCACGGGUGAGUAACACGUAUCCAACCUGCCGAUAACUCGGGGAUAGCCUUUCGAAAGAAAGAUUAAUAUCCAAUGACGUCUCUAGAAGACAUCUGAAGGAGACUAAAGAUUUAUCGGUGAUGGAUGGGGAUGCGUCUGAUUAGCUUGUUGGCGGGGUAACGGCCCACCAAGGCGACGAUCAGUAGGGGUUCUGAGAGGAAGGUCCCCCACAUUGGAACUGAGACACGGUCCAAACUCCUACGGGAGGCAGCAGUGAGGAAUAUUGGUCAAUGGACGAGAGUCUGAACCAGCCAAGUAGCGUGAAGGAUGAAGGUCCUACGGAUUGUAAACUUCUUUUAUAAGGGAAUAAACCCUCCCACGUGUGGGAGCUUGUAUGUACCUUAUGAAUAAGCAUCGGCUAACUCCGUGCCAGCAGCCG